AUUGAACGCUGGCGGCAGGCCUAACACAUGCAAGUCGAGCGGUAGCACAAGAGAGCUUGCUCUCUGGGUGACGAGCGGCGGACGGGUGAGUAAUGUCUGGGAAACUGCCUGAUGGAGGGGGAUAACUACUGGAAACGGUAGCUAAUACCGCAUAACGUCUUCGGACCAAAGUGGGGGACCUUCGGGCCUCACGCCAUCAGAUGUGCCCAGAUGGGAUUAGCUAGUAGGUGGGGUAAUGGCUCACCUAGGCGACGAUCCCUAGCUGGUCUGAGAGGAUGACCAGCCACACUGGAACUGAGACACGGUCCAGACUCCUACGGGAGGCAGCAGUGGGGAAUAUUGCACAAUGGGCGCAAGCCUGAUGCAGCCAUGCCGCGUGUGUGAAGAAGGCCUUCGGGUUGUAAAGCACUUUCAGCGAGGAGGAAGGGUGGUGUGUUAAUAGCGCAUCACAUUGACGUUACUCGCAGAAGAAGCACCGGCUAACUCCGUGCCAGCAGCCGCGGUAAUACGGAGGGUGCAAGCGUUAAUCGGAAUUACUGGGCGUAAAGCGCACGCAGGCGGUUUGUUAAGUCAGAUGUGAAAUCCCCGCGCUUAACGUGGGAACUGCAUUUGAAACUGG
rnacentral:rRNA from 1 species